rnacentral:rRNA from 1 species
GACGAACCGUGCGAACGUUGUUCGGAAUCACUGGGCUUAAAGGGUGCGUAGGCGGCUUCUUAAGUCUGGUGUGAAAUCUCCCGGCUCAACUGGGAGGGUGCGCCGGAUACUGAGGGGCUAGAGUGUGGGAGAGGAAAGUGGAAUUCCUGGUGUAGCGGUGAAAUGCGUAGAUAUCAGGAGGAACACCGGUGGUGUAAACGGCUUUCUGGACCAUAACUGACGCUGAGGCACGAAAGCGUGGGUAGCAAACAGG